CGUUGACCUCGAAUCAGGUAGGACUACCCGCUGAACUUAAGCAUAUCAAUAAGCGGAGGA
rnacentral:rRNA from 1 species